UUCUCCAAACACACAAACACAACGUACGUACAAACAGUCGACAAGCCCAUGAAAAAGCUUUUCCCUGAGGGAAAAGCAAGUGGAAACAACAAGCAGCCACCGGGGCCGCUGGGACUCGGUCAGCGCUGCUGAGGAUGUGGAACCCGGACCCCCGAGUCCUGCCGACGGCACCGAAGGAGGCGGUGGCCGCUGAGGAUGUCAUCUCCAAACAGCCCCCCAGGGCGCACUCGCAGGGCGCCACUCGCCCCGGCAGAGUCCCCUCCCGGCUCCCAGAGAAACCCGGGCCGCAGCGGUGGGACCAGGACGACCAGCCGCGGGACACCACCCGAGCGUGCGUCGAUUUGUGAGACCGGGAGGCCCACACGGCGCAAUCUUUUUAAGUCAUAAAACGAAGGAGGACAGCAAAGAAACGGACGCUACAAAAGUAAUGCCAUAACGGAGCUCCUGCGGUGGCGAGGAGGUUGGAACCAUGAGGUUGAGAGUUCGAUCCCCGCCCUCGCUCAGGGGGUUAAGGAUGCAGCAUUGCCGCGAGCUGUGCUGUGGGCCACAGACGCAGCUGGGAUCCUGGGCUGCUGGGGCUGCGGUGGAGGCCGGCGGCCACAGCUCCGAUGGGACCCCUAGCCCGGGAACCUCCACAUGCCGCGGGAGUGGCCCUAGAAGACAGAAAGACAAAAAACAAUAAAAUAAUGCUAUAAGGACAGGCCCUGAAAACAUGUUUAGUGGAAGCACCCUGACACGGAAGGUCGCACAUUGCGUAAUUCCACUGGUGUGAAAUGUCCAGAGGAGGCAAAUACACAGACAGAAAGCAGCUCCGUGACUGCCAGGGUGACGGACACUAAGUCCGGGGCUUCCUGUGGGGUGACGAACGUGUCCCCAUGUCUGCAGUGAGGACGGCACAGAUCUGUGAAUACAGGGAAAGAAGAAAUACCCGCCGAAUCACACACUUGGAGUGGGGGCAUUAGUGACGCGAAUGUCAUCUCAGAAAGUGGUCAGGAGGGUGGAAGCGCAGGACGUGGCGCUCACCCCCCACCCCAGAUACGUUAAAAACAUAACCAACCAACCAACCAACCUAGGAGUUCCCAUCGUGGCGCAGUGGUUGACGAAUCCGACUAGGAACUAUGAGGUUGCGGGUUCGAUCCCUGGCCUUGCUCAGUGGGUCAAGGUUCCAGCAUUGCCGUGAGCUGUGGUGUAGGAUGCAGACGAGGCUCGGAUCCCGCGUUGCUGUGGCUCUGGCGUAGGCCGGUGGCUACGGCUCCGAUUGGACCCCUAGCCCGGGAACCUCCAUAUGCUGCAGGAGUGGCCCAAGAAAUGGCAAAAAGAAAAAAAAUAAACAAAAAUAAAAAAAAUAACCAACCAACCAACCAACCUAGGAGUUCCCAUGUUGGUACAGUGGGUUGAGGAUUGGGUGCCGUCUCUUGGGCAGUGCGGGUUCAACCCACAGGCAGCACAGUGGGCUAAGGACCCAGCGCUGCUGCAGCUGUCGCUUGGAUUCGAUCCCUGGCCCGGGAACUUCCAUAUGCCACAGGUGCUGCCGGCGGGGUGGGGGGCAUCUAUACACAGAAUGAUUCUCAAAGAACAAGCACUGAAGGCUGGCAGAAGACCUCAGACUUUCAAAACGGGCAAGAAGACCUCCACAUAACUGGGCAGGACCAAAAAAAAGGGAGAGAGGAGAGAAAAAAAGGACUCAGGACAGGACGAGCACUCCUGGGAGGGAGCUGUGAAAGCGGAAAGGAACCUGCGCCCUGGGGGGCCCCCUGACUGGGGGAUCCCGGGGACAGAGGGGAGCCUCAAACCUGAGGGGGCUGGGGAGUGGUGCUGGGGGGUGCAGGAGGCCUGGGCUGCCAGGGAGGCGCUGCUGCCGGGACUGCCACAGAACCUCUUUCUCUGCGCACAGGCUCGGGUGGCGGGGCCCCUCUUGCAUGGGCUGUCGGGGUGGGUGCGAGCCACCCUAGCCAUCCCGGACUCCAGAGGUGGGCGAGGCUCACCCCUGCCUGCUGCCCCCACCCCUGGGAAUGGGCACAUCCAGACAUGGUCAUGGGGGAGGGGCCCCCCAGCCUGCUGCUGCCGCCCUUACCCGCAAGGGCCCAGCCUUUGCCCCCACCCCUUGGGAAGGCACAUGCCCCCCCACACACACUGCACCUGCCAAGGGCCCAUGACUGGGCACCCCCUCCACCUUCCUAUGGGUCACAGCCACGGCCAAGGGCCCCGCAACCGGGUACCACUGCAGGCACCACCCACUGCCCCCACCUCCCUCGACGCACAGGGGGGCCGAGCACCCACACACCCCCUAUCAGGGGGACAACGGCCUGCACACACUGAGCAAAAGCAGCCUCAGAGCAAAACCCAGGAAACCCACACCAGCUACCCAGGGAUGCCCUUGCAUAUAAACAGCCCUCCAAGAUGCCAGGAGACAGCUGCUGCCCCUAAACUCACAGAGCAGGAGACACAGGAGCGAAAUGAAGCAACGCCAGAACCGCUCCCAGUGACGGGGACAGACCUCCCCGAAGGAGGAACAAUGCAGCCGCCCUCGGCAGACAGCGGGUUCGAGGGGAGCUCAUGAAAACCCUGAGGAGGUGAGAACGCCCACGGACAGAAACGCAGCCUACUGUGGAAAGCGGCUGGAAACGACGAGGACGGGUAAGACGGGAAGGUUCACUCGCGAAGGUAAGAGCUGAGCUGCGGACAAUGGACGGCAGGGUGAGCCACGCAGAGGCACGAGCACGUGACUCGGAAGGGGGACGGAAGGAAGGCCACCCAAGCAGGACAGCACGCGGGGAGCCACAGGGGAAAGAAGAAAGGAGCAAAAAUCGCAGCCAUCCACGGACUCACGUGAAGCGCGUCAGGCUAGGCGAACCAGGGGUCCGAAGAGGAUGAGGAAGAGAAAAGGGGGCUGAAGACGCAUUUGAGGAAAUGACGGCUGAAAACGUCCCAAAUCUAAAGGGUUUCGGAAACAGACACCCAGAUACAGGAAGCACGGGUCCCAAAGAGACCCCCACCAAGGCAUCUUAUAAUACAAACAGCAGAACUUACAGAUAAGGCAAGAUUCCAACGGCAGCAAGCGGAGUGCCCGCCGUGGCUCAGUGGGAACGGGCCCAACUAGUACCCAUUAGGAUGCGGGUUUGAGCCCUGGCCUUGCUCAGUAGGCUAAAGACCCGGUGCUGCCAUGAGCUGGGGUGCAGGCCGCAGACGUGGCUCAGAUUCCGCGUUGCUGAGGCUGUGACGUAGGCCGGCAGCUACAGCUCCAAUUCCACACCUAGCCUGGGAACUUCUAUAUGACACAGGUGCAGCCAUAAGAAAAAGGCAAAAAAAAAUUUUUUUUAAAUAAAGGCAGCAAGAGAAAAACAAAGAGUUAAUUAUAAGGGAACCCCCAUAAGGCUAUCAGCUAAUUCCUCUUCAGAAACACUGCGGCCGAAAGGAAUGGCAUGAUUCUUCUAAAAGGGAAAAAUACGCAACUUAGAAUACUCUACCCGCAGACUAUCAGUUAAAACAGACGAAUAGCCAGGACAUGGAAACAACCAAAAUGCCCACCAACAGAUGGAUUAAGCAGAUGUGGUGCAUAUUUACAAUGGACUACAACGUGGCCUUAAAAAAGAACAAAAUAACGCCAUUCACAGUCACACAGGUGCAGCUAGAGAGGAUCUCGCUAAGUCAGUCAGAAGAAGGAAAUACCGUGACAUCACUUAUAUGUGGAAUCUCACAUAUGGCACAAAUGAACCAUCUACAAAACAGAAAGAGACUCACAGACACACACAAAUAAGCCAGAGUGCAGAUCCAAGAGGAAAAAAAGCCCUACUUGUGAAAGUGAUGGCAACCCAAGGAAGAGCAAAAGGAUAGCCCCGAAAAUGUCAGAAAGAACAUCGAGAACCAUAAAAUGGGGGUAAGGAGAGUAAAAAAACGUAGGUUCUUUUUUUAGGACAUGUCUGAGCCUACACGACUAUCGGUCUAAAGCAAGCAGAUACAGCAAGGGGUUACGACACUUGAAAAACGGGGCAAUCGCAAAUCACAAACAAACAAAAGAUUCACAAAAACCAAAGAGGAAAGGAUACAAGCAUAAGAAACAAAAAGAAACAGAAAGGAACAAAAAGGGAACAGAACUGACCGGGUUACCUUUGGGGGAAGGAUAAACGAGGGGCGCGGGACUGAUACGCCUACGGGGACACGCACCACGCUGUGGAAACGACGGGUAGAAGGACCUCCUGCAGGACACGGGGAAGUUGGCGCAGUGAUGUGUGACAACCUGGAAGGGAAAGAAUCUGAAAAGGAACAGACAGACCCAAACGCACGACUGAUUCACCUUGCUGUACAUCUGAGAUUAACGCAACGCUGUAAACCUGUAAAUCAACUAUACUCCGAAACAACACUAGUAAUAAUGACAACCUCAGAUGUCAACGGACCGAACGUGCCGAUCAAAAGACACAGUGGCAGACUGGAUAAAAAACAAGCGCCUACAAUACGCCGCCUGCACGAGACUCACCUUAGGGCAAAGAACACAUGUACACUGAAAAUGAGGAGAUGGAAAAAGCUAUUUCACGUGAAUGGAAAUGACAGGAAAGCAGGCGUCACAAUACUCACGUCAGACAAAACAUCCCUAAAGCCAAGGCCAUAGAGGAGGAUAAAGGACACCACUUAAGGCUAAAAGGAUGGGUUCACGAGAAGAUACCACACUCGUCAACACCUAUGCUCCGACCGUAGCAGCACCCACAUACAUCCAACAGGCACAGCGGGAGAAACCGAGGGGACACACUCACAGUAGGACACCUUACCACCCACUCUCAUCAAUGGACAGAUCCUCGAGACAGACCAAUAAGGCAACAGAGGGAGUUCCCACUGUGGCUCAGUGCUAACGAGCCCAACCGGUAUCCACAAGGAUGUGGGUUCCAUCCCUGGACCUGCUCAGUGGAUUAAGGAUCCAGCAUUGCCAUGAGCGCAGUUUAAAGGGGGGGACGAGGCUUGGAUCUGCUGCUGCUGUGGCUGUAGCGCAGCUCCAAUUCGACCCCUGGCCUGGGAGCUUCCAUAUGCUGCAGGUGUGGCCCUAAAAAGCGGGGGAAAAAAAAAAGGCCAGCAGAGAUCCUCAAUGACACAAGAGAACAGUCAGACCAAUUGAUAUUUUCAGGACAUUAUCCAAAAAACCCAGAAUAUACAUUCUUUUCAAGUACCCGUGGAACAUUCUUUAGGAUUGAUCACCUAGUAAGGGCACAAAACUAACCUCAACAAAUUUAAGAACACAGAAUUAUGUCAAGCAUUUUCACAAUGGCAUGAAACUAGAAAUCAACCACAGGAAAAGAAAUGAGAAAACCCAACUACCUGGAGACUAAACAUGCUACUAAAACCCCAAUGGGUCAGCAAAGAAAUCAAAAAGGAAAUUAAAAAUAUCCUGAGACAAACAACAAUGAAAACACCACCACACAAAACCUGUGGAACCCCACAAAAACUGUGCUUAGAGGGAAGUUCAUAGCAAGACAGACAUUCCUCAAAAAAGAAAAAAAUCUCAAAUAAUCCAAGUGCUUAUUUGCAUUAGAAAAAGAAAAUAAAUCUAAAGUCAGCAGAAGGAAAGAAAUAACAAAGAUCAGAAAGAAAAUAAAUAAGACGUAUUAAAAGAACAACAGAAAAAAAUCAAUAAAAGCAAAAGCUGGUUUGAACGGGUAAACAAAAUUGACAAACCUCUGGCCUGGCUCACCAUGAGAAGAGAGAGAACUCAAAUAAAAUAAGAAGUGAAAAAGGAGAAAUCUCAAUAGACAUUUUGCAGAAAUAGAGAAAGUUUCAGAACCUGAUGAACAAUUAUGCCAACAAAUCUGACAACCUAGAAGAAAUGGACAACUUUCUAGAAACACACAGCCCACCAAAACCGAUGCAACAAGUAGAUCGCACAAAGGCGGGGGGGAGGAGGGGGAGACUAGGAAUAAACACGAACAAGGAGGUGAAAGACCAAUAUGCCAAGAACUAGAAAACAUUAGGAAAGGAAAUUAAAAAGAUUCCAAGAAACGGAAACCGAUGCUCUUGCAGUGGAAGGAUUAACCUACUCGAGUGGCCAUACCGCCCAAAGCAAUCGACAGAUUUAAUAUGAUCCCUGUCUAAUUACCCAUGACAUUUUCAGAGAACUAGAACAAAUAACCCCAAAAUUUAUAUGAAACCAUAAACGAUGCAGAAUUGCCAAAGCCAUCCUGAGGAAAAAAACCAGCAGGAGGCAUCACUCUCCCAGACCUCAGACAAUACUACAAAGCCUCAGUAGUCAAAACAGUGUGGUACUGGUACAAAAACAGACAGACAGACCAACGGAACAGAAUAGAGAGCCCAGAAAUAAACCCAGACACCUACGGUCAAUUAAUCUUCAACAAAGGAGGCAAGAACAUAAAAUGCAAGUGGACAGCUGCAUGUAAACCAAUGAAACUAGAACACACCCUCACACCUUGCACAAAAAUAAACUCAAAAUGGCUUAAAGUCUUAAACUUAAGUCAAGACACCAUCAAACGCCUAGAAGACAACACAGGCGAAACAUUCUUACUUCAACCAUACAAACAUUUUCUUAGGUCUCCCAAAGCAACAGAAGUAAAACAAAAAUAAACCACAGGGACCUCAUCAAACUGACAAGCAUUCGCACAGCAACGGAAACCAAACCAAAACGAAAAGACAGCCUGCGGGAUGGGGGGAUGACGGCAGACAACGCGACCAACAAGGGCUUCAUCUCCAAGCACACACACAACACAGACUCAACAGCAAGCAGACAACACAACUGACAAACGGCAGAAGACCUGAGUGGACAUGUUUCCAAAGAAGACGUACAGAUGGCCAACAGGCACAUGGAAAGAUGUCCAACAUCACUAUCAGAGAAACGCAAAUCCAAACCACAACGAGGUACCGCCUCGCACUGGUCAGCAUGGCCCUCGUUACCAAGUUUACAGUAACAACUGCUGGAGAGGGCGUGGAGAAAAGGGAACCCUCCUGCACUGGUGGUGGGGAUGUAAACUGGUACGACCACUGUGGAAAACAGUAUGGAGGUUCCUCAGAAAACUAAACACAGAACUACCAUAAGAUCCAGCAAUCCCACUCCUGGGCACAUAUCCUGACAAAACUUUCGUUGAAAAAGACACAUGCACCCCUAUGUUCACUGCAGCACUGUUCACAAUAUCCAAGACAUGGAAACAACCUAAAUGUUCACUGAAAGAUAAAUGGAUCAAGAUGUGGUACAUAUAUGCAAUGGAAUACUACUCAGCCAUUAAAAAGCACAAAAUAAGGCCAUUCACAGCCACACAGAUGCAACUAGAGAUUAUCAUGCCAAGCAAAGCAAGUAAGAAAAAAAUACCAUAUGGCAUCACUUAUAUGUGGAAUCUAAAAUAUGGCACAAAUGGGAGUUCCCAUCAUGGCUCAGCAGUAAUGAACCUGCCUAGUACCCGUGAGGACACAGGUUCGUCGAUCAGUGGGUUAAGAAUCUGGUGUUUCUAUGAGCUGUGGUGUAGGUCACAGAUUCAGCUCAGAUCCUGCAUUGCUGUGGCUGUGGUGCAGGCCGGUCCAGCUCUACUGGACCCCUAGCCUGGGAACUUCCGUAUGCCAUGGGUGGGGCCCUAAAAGGAAAAAAAUAAAAUUAAAAUUAAAUUAAAUUAAAUAAGGCGCAAAUGAACCACUUACAAAACAGAAAGAGACUCACAGACAUGGAGAACAGACUUGUGGUUGCCAAGGAGGAAGGGGAGUUUGAGGUUGGCAGAUGCAACUUCUACACUUAGAACAAGGUCCUACCGUAUAACACAGGGAACUAUUUCUAACCUCCCGGGAUAGACCGCGAUAGAAUAUAAUGUAAAAAACAAUGUAUACGUGUGUAUGACUGAGUCACUCUGCUGUGACUUGGCACAACCGAAAUUGGCACAACAUUGUAAAUCAAAUAUGCAUCAAUUUAAAAAUUAAGAAUUAUAGGAGUUCCCCACGUGGCUCAGCAGUGAAUGAACCCAACUAGAAUCCAUGAGGACUCAGGUUCCAUCCCUGGCCUUGCUCAGUGGGUUAAGGAUCCAGCGUUGCCAUGAGCUGUGGUGUAGGUCACAGACGCUGCUCAGAUCCAGCGUUGCUGUGGCUGUGGUGUAGGUUGGCAGCUACAGCUCCGAUUUGACCCCUAGCCUAGGAACCUCCCUAUGCCGUGAGUGCAGCCCUAAAAAAGACAAAAA
rnacentral:lncRNA from 1 species